CCACAAGCCGCGCGACUUCCGGUGUUCAAAUGAAAAAUAAAUAAAUAAAUAAAUAAAUAAAUAAAUAAAUAAAUGAAACACACGCACACACACACACACACGCUGAGCGGCGACGCGCCUCCUAAAGCGCACCGCAGACACCACUACACCAGACCGGACCGGACCGGACCGGACGGAACAGAGGGAGCCAAAACUUUUGGAAAUCUUACUGUCUCGAGUGACCUUGCCACGCAUUUUCUCUAGCUGCUACAGAAAAACCCCUGCAAACUUUCCAAAGAACCAGUGAAGUGAAUAAGACUGAUGAUCUCCUCAUCAUGGCACCUGUUAGUGGGUGACAGCAAGUGAACAUUUUGUCAUUUUGAGCAUCUCCAAAACUGCAGCUCUUGUGGGGUGUUCCCGGUCUGCAGUGGUCAGUAUCUAUCAAAAGUGGUCCAAGGAAGGAACAGUGGUGAACCGGGGACAGGGUCAUGGGUGGUCAAGGCUCAUUGAUGCAUCUGGGGAGUGAAGGCUGGCCCGUGUGAUCCGAUCCAAACAGACGAGCUACUGUUGCUCAAAUUGCUGAAGAAGUUAAUGAUGGUUCUGAUAGAAAGGGGUCAGAAUACACAGCAAAAAGGGGACCAACACAAUAUUAGGCAGGUGGUCAUAAUGUUAUGCCUGAUCGGCGUAAAGACAUUUCAUAGACGAAGCUUAUGAUCUAAUGUCUUAAUUGAUCAUCACAAAACUAGAUGAAGUUUCUCCUGUCACUUUUUUGCCUCUACCAGUGGUAAUAUAAAACCCUUCUAAACACACACACAGCACUUUUGACCAAUACACCGGUGGAACAGAACUGGACUUAUGAGACAUUUUCAAUCAGUAUAAUGAUUAGUAAUGAAUGAUGUUCAGGCUGUGAGUCUGAUCUAAAACGAGUCUGUCGGCUUUCAGUGUGCUUUAGUCGUGUGUUUUUCCCUCUGUUGGAGAACCUUACACAGAAUUUUACUGGUUGAAGAAGAAAUCUGAGCUGCUUUUUAGAUGAACAAGCACUUGGAGAACAUCUCAGAGAGCAGAAACGGGUUUGAGAUCAACAUUUACUCUGAAGAUACAAACAUUUCUGUGGAAAAAAAACUUUGCUUAUUUGGAACUUUUCCAUGAAUAUAUCGCCUCUAGUAGGUUAGAUAAAACAGAAAUACUUACGAAACUCUACAAAUUCUUAAAGCUCAGAGUGUCUGCUUUCAUAUCAGCUUCAUAUUAACCUCCUCUGUGGAGUGAGACGUGAUAAAGACACUUGAACAUCAACAUGGACACAACAACAACAGGAGGAGGAAACUCCAUUUUUAUUGUUUUAAGACGCUUUAGUUUGGUAGCGGUUCUGAAUAUCGUGGUGUCAUGGGCUUCAGGAUAUUUCUGUCACAUGCCCUGCCUCUAAUUCCCCUUCGUUAACUUUCACUUAUCCUUCAGCUUGAAUAAAUAUGAACACAACCUCACACCCUUUGAUCCGCUAAUAUCUUUGCUCAUUAUCGCGGCCCGGGCGCUAGCACCGGCGCUACCAAUUAGCCGUAAACACACGGCUAUACGUCGCCAUCUUCGCUGCAACCGGCCCACCGUUAGCGCUGGAAGGUUUUUGGAAGCAGCGCAGGCCCCAGGCUUAUCUCCACCCGGCACAAUGUAUGGGGUAAAGGGGGAGAAAAAGAUGGCUCAUUAAGGGAAUAAAGCUCUCGGCUGUCGUUAAGGCCCGCUGUAAUGUCGCCGGGCUGUUGACUGCAUUGUGUGUGACGGCUGCAAACAUGCUUCAACCUCAAUGGGAAAAAAGCAGCAUGAAUGCAGAUGGCAGAUUGGUCCAAUUGGCAAGAAGUCUGUGAGAAAGUGUGUUAAGCGAGCGAGCGUGUGUGUGAGUGUGUGUGUGAGUGUGUGAGUGUAUUGUAUGUUCAUCUGUACAUCACAUGUGUCGAUUAGAGGAGGACAGAAUGCACAUGUGUAUCAUACUGAAUGUGUGUGUGUGUGUAUGUGUGUGUGAGAGAGAGAGAGAGAGAGAGAGAGAGAGUACUGUGAGCACUGGGGGACAACUUGGUCUGUGUGUGUGUGUGUGUGUGUGUGCUAGGAGGAGGGGGGUAAGACUAGGGUGCUAAUUUGGAGGAAUUAAAGAGCACGACACAGGGCACUUUGUGGAAGCAGGCUCUGGGUCUAAUCUACCCUAUGCCUGAUCUCACACUCACACUCACACACACACACACACUCACACACACACAGCUGAGAGUGAGCAGCAUGCCACAUCACCCCCAGGCAAUAUGGAAAUACAUACUCUCUCUCUCUCUCUCUCUCUCUCUCUCUCACACACACACACACACACACAUUCACUAGGGAUAUUAACCAAAGUGAGCUACCUCUGUGAUUCAGAGGUGCAAAAAUCUGUGGUCUGUUAAACUUCAUACAUAACCUUGAGCACACACACACACACAAAUCCCAAGUUGUCCCCCUGUGCUUUAUAUAUUCGCACAUAUUUACAUUAAUGGGAUCAUAACUCAACUAUUUCAUCUCCCGAAUCCUUCUUAUAAACAUGUUAGCGUUUCCAUAGCAACAGUGGGAAUGAAGUGAAUGGAUGGUUUAUGGAAGGAGUCUCCAGUGUCAGUAAAGUCUUUUUCCAGCGGCUCACCAGAACAGAGGAGUUUACACUGCGGGGGGUUUCCGUCACAUGACAAGAUCAUUUUGAUCCCUCUCAGUCUCACACACACACACACACACACAUGAGAUAGAAUUCUGAGUAACGUGACACACACAUGCAAAUAAAAGACUAUAUAUGGGAUAUGUAUACAGACACACACACAAACACACACACACACACACACACACACACUAUAUGUAGUUUGUAUGGAGUGUAGGACUAACACACAGAGCUGCAGUUGUGUGUUUCUGCUCUCUCUCUCUCUCUCUCUCUGACCCCCCCCCUCUCUCUCUCACUCUCUGACCCUCUCUCUCUCUCUCUCUCUGACCCCCCCUUUCUCUCUCUCUCUCUCACUCUCU